UACAGAGGGGGCUAGCGUUGUUCGGAAUUACUGGGCGUAAAGCGCACGUAGGCGGCUAUGUAAGUUAGACGUGAAAGCCCGGGGCUCAACUCCGGAACUGCCUUUAAGACUGCAUCGCUUGAAUCAUGGAGAGGUUAGUGGAAUUCCGAGUGUAGAGGUGAAAUUCGUAGAUAUUCGGAAGAACACCAGUGGCGAAGGCGACUAACUGGACAUGUAUUGACGCUGAGGUGCGAAAGCGUGGGGAGCAAACAGG
rnacentral:rRNA from 1 species